GAUGAACGCUAGCGGGAGGCCUAACACAUGCAAGCCGAGCGGUAGAGUCUCUUCGGAGACUUGAGAGCGGCGCACGGGUGCGGAACACGUGUGCAACCUGCCUUUAUCUGGGGGAUAGCCUUUCGAAAGGAAGAUUAAUACCCCAUAAUAUACUGGAUGGCAUCAUCUGGUAUUGAAAACUCCGGUGGAUAGAGAUGGGCACGCGCAAGAUUAGAUAGUUGGUGAGGUAACGGCUCACCAAGUCAGCGAUCUUUAGGGGGCCUGAGAGGGUGAUCCCCCACACUGGUACUGAGACACGGACCAGACUCCUACGGGAGGCAGCAGUGAGGAAUAUUGGACAAUGGGUGAGAGCCUGAUCCAGCCAUCCCGCGUGAAGGACGACGGCCCUAUGGGUGGUAAACUUCUUUUGUAUAGGGAUAAACCUAGAUACGUGUAUCUAGCUGAAGGUACUAUACGAAUAAGCACCGGCUAACUCCGUG
rnacentral:rRNA from 1 species